GGUGAGUAACACGUGAGUAACCUGCCCUUGACUCUGGGAUAAGCGCUAGAAAUGGCGUCUAAUACCGGAUACGAGCUUCAGCCGCAUGGCUAGGAGUUGGAAAGAAUUUUGGUCAAGGAUGGACUCGCGGCCUAUCAGCUAGUUGGUGAGGUAAUGGCUCACCAAGGCGACGACGGGUAGCCGGCCUGAGAGGGUGACCGGCCACACUGGGACUGAGACACGGCCCAGACUCCUACGGGAGGCAGCAGUGGGGAAUAUUGCACAAUGGGCGAAAGCCUGAUGCAGCAACGCCGCGUGAGGGAUGACGGCCUUCGGGUUGUAAACCUCUUUUAGUAGGGAAGAAGCGAAAGUGACGGUACCUGCAGAAAAAGCACCGGCUAACUACGUGCCAGCAGCCGCGGUAAUACGUAGGGUGCAAGCGUUGUCCGGAAUUAUUGGGCGUAAAGAGCUCGUAGGCGGUUUGUCGCGUCUGCUGUGAAAUCUGGGGGCUCAACCCCCAGCCUGCAGUGGGUACGGGCAGACUAGAGUGCGGUAGGGGAGAUUGGAAUUCCUGGUGUAGCGGUGGAAUGCGCAGAUAUCAGGAGGAACACCGAUGGCGAAGGCAGAUCUCUGGGCCGUAACUGACGCUGAGGAGCGAAAGCAUGGGGAGCGAACAGGAUUAGAUACCCUGGUAGUCCAUGCCGUAAACGUUGGGAACUAG
rnacentral:rRNA from 1 species